rnacentral:rRNA from 1 species
AGGACGAACGCUGGCGGCGUGCUUAACACAUGCAAGUCGAGCGGAAAGGCCUUUCGGGGUACUCGAGCGGCGAACGGGUGAGUAACACGUGAGUAAUCUGCCCAUCGCUUCAGGAUAGCCAUCGGAAACGGUGAUUAAUACUGGAUAUGACAUUCCUUCGCAUGUUGGGGUGUGGAAAGUUUUUUCGGCGGUGGAUGUGCUCGCGGCCUAUCAGCUUGUUGGUGGGGUAAUGGCCUACCAAGGCUUUGACGGGUAGCCGGCCUGAGAGGGUGACCGGCCACACUGGGACUGAGACACGGCCCAGACUCCUACGGGAGGCAGCAGUGGGAAUAUUGGACAAUGGGCGGAAGCCUGAUCCAGCAACGCCGCGUGAGGAUGACGGCUGGUUGUAACUACUUCAGCACAGACGAAGUUUGUCUUUUUUGGUUGUAAGUAGUAGGUAUGUGCAGAAGAAGGACCGGACGAACC